UUCUUAAUUUUGCACCUUCUUCAUUUACACACCAAGCUUACCGCCGAUCCUCUCUAUCACUCAUUUCCAUGCUAUUAACUUUUGCUACCACCUCAGCUCUACCGUCUCCCCAAAUCAACUCCGAAAAAACAGGACCAGAGAAAGGUCCCUCAUUCUCAUUCGUUAUUUUGGACAAACAACAGAACCGACAACGACAUCGAUUUUAUUUUCCCUCGCCAUUUUCGAAUCUCGUACCGCUCAUCUCAUGCUAGCGGUCGGCUGCUAUCAUUGAUAGCAGCCAGUCGGCCGAACGGUAUGGUCCAGUUUUCCAUCGGAAGUCAUCGCAAACCGUACUGUGUUGAAGCAUGCUAUACUCAAAAUGCGACAGGGGUUUCUUUUCUAGGCAAGUGAAGCAAGUGUUUAAAAAGCGGAAGAAAGGAAGAAAAAUAAAGAAGAACAGUACACCUUAAGACAGUGCCCUGCCUUUCGGCCAGUCUGCUUAUUUUCCACAAUGCUACUUCGUCCGGUUCAAAGGCCUACUACGAAUUGGUAGGCAAAUAGUGACAGGAAGUUGAAGCAGCAUACAAGAACAGCCGUCAGGCGAUGAUGAUGCGAAAGAAACUCUCUCGAUUCGCUUCUUCGCAUGACGAUGAUAGCGUUGGCGAUAAGGAGACUACUUAUUAAUAAAAUCAAUAAAUGUUAGGACCAACUAACAACGAAAGACUAUGUAAGUUCUACAUCUCCAGUAGAUCAAAUGAAUGCUCGGAUAAAAGCUAAAUAUUUAACGAACAUAGACAACCCGUGAUACAUUUGAUUUAAGAUCGUUGGCAUGACAACAUUUCAGGCCAUCAAUUUCAUUACUAAAAUGCAAACUUCUUUAAAAACUAUAAAAUAUAACUUCAUAUUCAAAAUAAAAUCAAAUUUUACAUUGCCCUAGAACUCUGUUUAUUUUUAGUUAUUGAUUUAAUACUGUUCAGAGUCGAUACAUAUAUUUAAGCAAAAUUAUCCUUUUUAACUGUGUUGCUAUAGAUUAUUUUGCAUGCUUGUGAAUAUUUCUUUUGGUAUAUUGUUUUAUGUUGAUCAUUCGCAUUAGUUUUAGUAAUCUCUCACGAUCGAUUGUUUAACGGGCUAAAAACCCCUUUUGCUCAUGCUCCUUAGCCAGUGCGUGAAAAUGGUUUAGCAUCAUAUUCCUUUCACAGUGCUUGAAAACUCAUUUUUAUAAACUAUAUAAUGUAUGUAGCAUCCCAUCCAACCAGCAUCCAGUGGUAGGUGAUUACAUUGAACAAAAAAAGCCAAAUUUUAUCUACUGAAAUACACUGCAAGACCACUAUAGUCUACGCUUUUUUCUCUUGACUGUGCAAAAUGAAAUCUUCAUUCCCACAAACAACUCACUAUCGCUAUAGUCUGCAAUGAAUGGUUUAGCAGUAGCACACACGGAAAUCGCGGAAAGCUAUAGGAAGCUGCUGCAAUAGCAGCAUCACAGUCAUCAUCUUUGUAACAGAAGGGACGAUGUACAAAACUUGUUGGAACGGGAUGGAAAGAAAUAAAAAAUUAAUUUCAAGCCACCCUGUUUUUAUUUUUGAAUAUUCAAAUUAAUUCCCCUUCUCGCGUACUGGAAGGUAUUCAAUGAUGAUUGUGCUUAGGACCCAUCCAUCGACUGUGGUGUGCUGGGGUUUGGUUGUGUUUAUGUGUCGCUCGGGCCACAUGCUCCGGCGUAUGUGCUAAUGAAAUUCGUUCACCAUGGUACGCAUCCUCACACACCAGCAUACGCUCUCGUGAGAUCGGUCUGUACACUUUUAAUCACGCAUACAUCUACGAAGUGGAAGAGAAUAGGAUGUAGUUGAAAUGUGUUUUCCGUUAAUGAAAUUUCUUUCUUGAGUUUUUGAUACAUGAAACUGUUUCCAACGGGAUUUCAUUAGCCUCGUUCGAUACAGUUGCGUAACUUUAUCCUUAAAUGCCUUUCGUUUCACGUUUAUUUUAAUGUUAAAUUUAAAACAUUCGUUUUAAACUAGUUGUAACAACAACAAAAAAGAUCUGUAUCCUUAAUAUUUUAUAUUUGUUUCAGAUGGAAAUAUAACUACUGUAUUAUAGUAAACAAUUAUUACAGAAUAAUUUAAAAAAAAAAAAAUUAUUCAACUACUUGUUUAGCGCAUGUCCUGUCGAUUGUUACUUCAUUACGACUGUUCAUUGAUCAGCUACAUUUAUGCGGAAGAUUGAGUUAUUGACUGUGGUGGUAAAUUUAAAUAAAUCACUGUACAGAGUCAAAAACUAAGCAACAAUAUAAUCGUUGAUUCAAACGCCAUUUUAUGUAAUCUUUCUUAAAAUUAAGCAUAGUCAAGUAAUAUGAUCUAUGCUUAAUCGCGUAGGACUAGUACGCGUUUGAAAUUUCUAUUAAUCAGAAAGCUAAAUUUAUAUUACUCAUUUUAAUUUGAUCUCAUCUUCGAGCCAAACUUAAAAUUCCUCACCAUAACCCUUUUGCAAGCGCUUUUCUGCAAUCAAUGUGAGUAUACGAUUCUGUUUCAAUCCUGGAUUCCAAUCAACAUUUCGGUGUCCUGUUGCGAAGGGGUCAUAUUCUCGUUCACCGUUAAUGUAUCGUUCCUAGUCGUACCAACGAUGAAACUGGUAGGAUUCUUCUUCACUCUCGUUAAACCAUACAUACAUACAUACAUACAUACAUACAUACAUACAUACAUACAUACAUACCCAUAGAAACACAUACAGAAAACCCUCCCUACCUACAACAAGCUCUGAACGUUCGUAAAGAUGCCGCCCCUACCAUUCAGGAUUGGGAGAAUGGUCCAGCCACCCUCGCGCGCGUGUUUCCAAUUUAACCCUUUUUCGUCGCGAAAACUGAUACCGCGAGGCACCCGCUUGCCAGCUCAGAGCGUAUGUACAACGCGUUAUGUGUGAGUGUUAGUCGAUAGAAGCUUGUGCAAUAGCGUUGGCAGUACAUAAAAAACGUUAACGCACAACUUUUCCUUACGCAACGCCUACUGUGUUCGCAGACGAGGCCCGUGUAAUUCUUGCCAAGCGUAGCAAGUGGAAAAAGGGGUUUUGCGAAGAAAAGCAAUAUGGCUUCCGAUGGGGGAAUGAGUAACACAGAACAACGCGUGGUCUUACCACCGUUGAUAUGGAUUCGUUGGGAAGAAGGCAUUAGAUGUAAACGGUCGGCAGGUUUGCUAAAGCUGUUUUUCUCGUUUAAUAUGGUUUGUGGAAGGGUAUCAAAAUGGGCACCUGUACUAGGAUAAUAAAAUAAAGGGUGCGUAAUACUCAAACGAAGACGAAACUCCUAACGUUUGGCAUGGAAGGAUCUAUAAAAUAAGAGCUAAAAUGACCAUGAAGAAGAACUGUACACACUUAAAAAGGGAAGCUGAAAAGAUAAAUAGACUCCUAGUGUCGAUGACUUCAAAAUGGAUGGAAAUAAUUACAGGAAGAAUGUGCUCUCGAAUAACUCAUAACUACAGAAGUAAUGCCUUAUUAACUGAAUUUUUGGUAUCCCAGCUUAUUCUUAUCUGAAUUAUAACUAUUCGGAUAACAAGGAUAAGGUAGCCUUUCAAUACCAAG